GACGAACGCUGGCGGCGUGCCUAAUACAUGCAAGGUAGAACGCUGAAGAGAGGAGCUUGCUCUUCUUGGAUGAGUUGCGAACGGGUGAGUAACGCGUAGGUAACCUGCCUUGUAGCGGGGGAUAACUAUUGGAAACGAUAGCUAAUACCGCAUAACAAUGAAUGACUCAUGUCAUUUAUUUGAAAGGGGCAAUUGCUCCACUACAAGAUGGACCUGCGUUGUAUUAGCUAGUAGGUGAGGUAACGGCUCACCUAGGCGACGAUACAUAGCCGACCUGAGAGGGUGAUCGGCCACACUGGGACUGAGACACGGCCCAGACUCCUACGGGAGGCAGCAGUAGGGAAUCUUCGGCAAUGGGGGCAACCCUGACCGAGCAACGCCGCGUGAGUGAAGAAGGUUUUCGGAUCGUAAAGCUCUGUUGUAAGUCAAGAACGAGUGUGAGAGUGGAAAAUUCACACUGUGACGGUAGCUUACCAGAAAGGGA
rnacentral:rRNA from 1 species